rnacentral:lncRNA from 1 species
UGCCUUGCUGCUGGACCCAAACAUCUACAGAACAAUGCCACAGAAGAGGUUGAAGAGAACUCUGAUAAGAAAAAUGUUCAAUUUGUAUUUAAGCAAACAGUGAACGACGUUUGCAAUCAACUAAAAAUUCGUCUAUCGAGUUAGGUCUGAGAAUUGCUAUAAAGAGUGUGGCCGUAUGUCUGAUGGCUCCCUUUUCAGGACUAGGGUCUCACGGGGCACAGUGUGUUAAUAUUUACCUAAAUAACUCUUGUCAAUGGUUUUUGAAAAAAACCUCGGUUUCAAAAUAUUUGAAUGAUCUCCAUAUUUUCAUUUAACCUCUGACUCUUUAAAUUUUUUUCCUGAGGAAAGUGUUUUGAGUUUUUUAACGUUAAAAAAAUUGUAUUUUUUUUAAAAUAUCUUCAAACUGAAUCUUUUAUGCACCAAAGUUGGUUUUGAAAAGGAAAAUAAAAUCACUUUCUUGCUUGGCAGGCAAGAAGCCAUAUGGAAUUUUUUUAACUUUUACAGAAAUGUGUAACUUGUCAGUACUGUAUCAAACAAAUGUUGCAUAGAGAUAAUAGAGCGUUGCUUGUAAAUAAUUCAGCAGAUUUGUAAUAUAUUUUUCUAUUAUGAAAUGUACUGUAGAUGUUUUCUAGAGGCAUGAAAGUCAAUGUAUAUAUUAUGGUAGAAAUAAUAUUGAAGGAAAUUGUAACUCACUAGUGCUGCCAGAGGGAUUGCUAACAAAGCACCUUUAACGAGAGAUGUCUGUGCAGACUGAAGGGACUGUGUACUACUGUUAAUGUCUA